UCAGACGAUGCGUCAUGCAUAUCAAUAAGCGGAGGAAAAGAAACUAACAAGGAUUCCCCUAGUAACGGCGAGUGAAGCGGGAAGAGCUCAAAUUUGAAAUCUUAAAGGGUUUCCCUUUACGAAUUGUAGUUUAAAGAAGUGUUUUCUGUUGAGGUUUUGGUAAAAGUUCUUUGGAAUAGGACAUCAUAGAGGGUGAGAAUCCCGUAUUUGACCUUUACUUUCAACUUUGUGAUACACUUUCAAAGAGUCGGAUUGUUUGGGAAUGCAGUCCAAAAUGGGUGGUAAAUUUCAUCUAAAGCUAAAUAUUGGCGAGAGACCGAUAGCGAACAAGCACCGUGAGGGAAAGAUGAAAAGAACUUUGAAAAGAGAGUUAAACAGUACGUGAAAUUGUCAAAAGGGAAGCGUUUGACACCAGUGUUGUUUUUCUGAAAAUCAAUUAAAGAACUGUUUAUGCUAAGUUGUUUAGACUUUAUCAGCUAACUGUUUAGUUUUGAGCUUUUCUUUAAUGCACUUUUCAGUUAACAAGUCAACAUCAAUUUCUUUUGCUGUAAAAAAGCUUGAGGAAGGUGGCUUGAGAUUCGUCUUAAGUGUUUAUAGCCUCUUGCCUAUGCAGUCGGAGAGAUUGAGGUCUGCAGCGUAGAUCCUUCGGGGCUAAAUGCAUUUGUGCUAAGUUAUAGCAUUUUAUAGACAACUUGUUGACUAUGAUUUGUCUUGUAGCUUACUCGCUUAUGUUAUUUUACCUACGCUUAGGAUGUUGAAUCUGUGCGAGACUAC
rnacentral:rRNA from 1 species